AACGUAGGUGGCAAGCGUUAUCCGGAAUUACUGGGCGUAAAGGGCGCGUAGGCGGCCUUCUAAGUCGAACGUGAAAUCCCCGGGCUCAACCCGGGAACUGCGUCCGAUACUGGAAGGCUUGAAUCCGGGAGAGGGAUGCGGAAUUCCUGGUGUAGCGGUGAAAUGCGUAGAUAUCAGGAGGAACACCGGUGGCGAAGGCGGCUUUCUGGACAGUAACUGACGCUGAGGCGCGAAAGCUAGGGGAGCAAACAGG
rnacentral:rRNA from 1 species